UCGAUUCCCGGAACGGACGACCGCGAACGCGUUUUGUGCAGCCGCGCCGCGGGGAGGGGGACGGCCCCCUCCCCCGGCGUGCCCCGCCUGUGCGGUUGCUUGCGAGAGGUCUCCCCCCGAGCCACUCUCAACCCCCGCGCGGAAAGCGCCAAAGAAAAAAAAAAAAGAUCACCCCGGUCCCCCCCACCCCUCUUCCCCACCCCCCGGGUGGGCGCCCCCGGGAGGGGUCUCCACGGUGUCCGUCGUAACCGAAACGACUCUCGGCAAUGGAUAUCUCGGCUCGUAUCGAUGAAGAACUACGAAAUGCGAUACUUGGUGUGAAUUGCAGAAUCCCGCGAACCAUCGAGUCUUUGAACGCAAGUUGGCCCGAAGCCACUAGGCCGAGGGCACGCCUGCCUGGGCGUCACGCGCUCCGUCGCCGCCCCCGCUCCGCGCGGGGCGGCGGAUAUUGGCCCCCCGUUCCCUCCGGGCGCGGCCGGCCCAAACGCGGGUCCUCGGCGAGGGCGUCGCGACCGGCGGUGGUUGAGUUUCCUCGACGCGAGUCCCGGUCGUGCCGCUCGCUCCCGCCGUCUUCCGGACUCGCCCGACCCCUCGAGA
rnacentral:misc_RNA from 1 species